rnacentral:rRNA from 1 species
AGUGAACGCUGGCGGCGUGCUUAACACAUGCAAGUCGAACGAGAACGGAUUAUAGCUUGCUAUAAUUGUCAGCUGAGUGGCGCACGGGUGAGUAAUGUAUAGGUAAUAUGCCUCUUACUAAGGGAUAACAAAUGGAAACGUUUGCUAAUACCUUAUACUCCUUAUUAACAUAAGUUAAUAAGGGAAAGAUUUAUUGGUAAGAGAUUAGCCUGUAUUGUAUCAGUUAGUUGGUGGGGUAAUGGCUUACCAAGACUAUGACACAUAACUGGUUUGAGAGGAUGAUCAGUCACACUGGAACUGAGACACGGUCCAGACUCCUACGGGAGGCAGCAGUGGGGAAUAUUGCACAAUGGACGGAAGUCUGAUGCAGCAACGCCGCGUGGAGGAUGACACAUUUCGGUGCGUAAACUCCUUUUAUAUGAGAAGAUAAUGACGGUAUUAUAUGAAUAAGCACCGGCUAACUCCGUGCCAGCCGCCGCAGUAACAC